UACACUCCUACGGGAGGCAGCAGUGGGGAAUAUUGGACAAUGGGCGCAAGCCUGAUCCAGCCAUGCCGCGUGAGUGAUGAAGGCCCUAGGGUUGUAAAGCUCUUUCACCGGUGAAGAUAAUGACGGUAACCGGAGAAGAAGCCCCGGCUAACUUCGUGCCAGCAGCCGCGGUAAUACGAAGGGGGCUAGCGUUGUUCGGAUUUACUGGGCGUAAAGCGCACGUAGGCGGACUAUUAAGUCAGGGGUGAAAUCCCGGGGCUCAACCCCGGAACUGCCUUUGAUACUGGUAGUCUUGAGUUCGAGAGAGGUGAGUGGAAUUCCGAGUGUAGAGGUGAAAUUCGUAGAUAUUCGGAGGAACACCAGUGGCGAAGGCGGCUCACUGGCUCGAUACUGACGCUGAGGUGCGAAAGCGUGGGGAGCAAACAGGAUUAGAAACCCUGGUAGUCC
rnacentral:rRNA from 1 species